rnacentral:rRNA from 1 species
CACGUGGACAUCUAACCUAAGGUGGGGGAUAACCCCGGGAAACUGGGGAUAAUACCCCAUAGACUAUGGGUGCUGGAAUGCUCUGUAGUUGAAAGGUCCGCCGCCAUAGGAUGAGUCUGCGGCCGAUUAGGUUGUUGUUGGGGUAACGGCCCAACAAGCCUGUAAUCGGUACGGGUUGUGGGAGCAAGAGCCCGGAGAUGGAUUCUGAGACACGAAUCCAGGCCCUACGGGGCGCAGCAGGCGCGAAAACUUUACAAUGCGGGAAACCGUGAUAAGGGAACUCCGAGUGCCCGUAAAAUCGGGCUGUCCACCAGUGCAAAUAACUGGUGAAGAAAGGGCCGGGCAAGACCGGUGCCAGCCGCCGCGGUAAUACCGGCGGCUCGAGUGGUGGCCACUAUUACUGGGCUUAAAGCGUUCGUAGCUGGUCUGUUAAGUCUCUGGGGAAAUCUACUGGCUUAACCAAUAGGCAUCUCAGGGAUACUGGCAGACUAGGGACCGGGAGAGGUGAGGGGUACUCCAGGGGUAGGAGUGAAAUCCUGUAAUCCUUGGG